rnacentral:pre_miRNA from 1 species
AGUGGGAUAACUGGGUCAAAUGGUGGUUCCCUUUCAAAUUUUCUGAGGAAUCUUCAUACUGCUUUCCAUAGUGGUUGCACCAAUUUGUAGUCCCACCAGCAAU